rnacentral:rRNA from 1 species
UACGGGGGGGGCAAGCGUUGUUCGGAAUUACUGGGCGUAAAGGGUUCGUAGGUGGCUUGCUAAGUCAGACGUGAAAUCCCUCAGCUUAACUGGGGAACUGCGUCUGAUACUGGCGAGCUUGAGUGCAGGAGAGGAACGCAGAAUUCCAGGUGUAGCGGUGAAAUGCGUAGAUAUCUGGAGGAAUACCGGUGGCGAAGGCGGCAUCCUGGACCGGCAUUGACGCUGAGGAGCGAAAGCCAGGGGAGCAAACGGG